UACAGAGGUCCCAAGCGUUGUUCGGAUUCAUUGGGCGUAAAGGGUGUGUAGGUGGCGCCGUAAGUCGGGUGUGAAAUUUCGGAGCUUAACUCCGAAACUGCAUUCGAUACUGCGGUGCUUGAGGAUUGGAGAGGAGACUGGAAUUCAUGGUGUAGCAGUGGAAAUGCGUAGAGAUCAUGAGGAAGACCAGUGGCGAAGGCGGGUCUCUGGACAGUUCCUGACACUGAGACACGAAGGCCAGGGGAGCAAACGGG
rnacentral:rRNA from 1 species